ensembl:lncRNA
CGUCACCCUGUUAGGUACGGGGAGGGAACAGUCACCCUGUUGGGAACAGUCACCCUGUUAGGUACGGGGAGGGAACAGUCACCCUGUUAGGUACGGGGAGGGAACAGUCACCCUGUUAGGUACGGGGAGGGAACAGUCACCCUGCUAGGUACGGGGAGGGAACAGUCACCCUGUUGGGAACAGUCACCCUGUUAGGUACGGGGAGGGAACAGUCACCCUGUUAGGUACGGGGAGGGAACAGUCACCCUGCUAGGUACGGGGAGGGAGCGGUCACCCUGCUAGGUACGGGGAGGUGACGGUCACCCUGCUAGGUACGGGGAGGUGACGGUCACCCUGCUAGGUACGGGGAGGUGACGUCACCCUGCUAGGUACGGGGAGGGAACGGUCACCCUGCUAGGUACAGGGAGGUGACGGUCACCCUGCUAGGUAC